UACGGGGGGGGCAAGCGUUGUUCGGAAUUACUGGGCGUAAAGGGCUCGUAGGCGGCCAACUAAGUCAGACGUGAAAUCCCUCGGCUUAACCGGGGAACUGCGUCUGGUACUGGAUGGCUUGAGUUUGGGAGAGGGAUGCGGAAUUCCAGGUGUAGCGGUGAAAUGCGUAGAUAUCUGGAGGAACACCGGUGGCGAAGGCGGCAUCCUGGACCAACACUGACGCUGAGUGAGCGAAAGCCAGGGGAGCAAACGGG
rnacentral:rRNA from 1 species